rnacentral:rRNA from 1 species
UACGUAGGGUGCUAGCGUUAUCCGGAAUCACUGGGCGUAAAGCGUGCGUAGGCGGCUUGUUAAGUGAGAUGUGAAACCGUGUGGCUCAACCAUAUCGUUGCAUUUUCAUACUGGCAGGCUAGAGGACGGCAGAGGCAAGUGGAAUUGGUAGUGUAGCAGUGAAAAUGCGUAGAUAUUACCAGGAACACCAAUGGCGAAGGCAGCUUGCUGGGCCGACCCCUGA